UGUUAUCCGCGUCGGACCGUGUACAAGUCUCCUGGAAUGGAGCGUCAUAGAGGGUGAGAAUCCCGUCCAUGACACGGACGCCCCGAUGCUUUGUGAGGCACUCUCAAAGAGUCGAGUUGUUUGGGAAUGCAGCUCAAAAUGGGUGGUAAAUUCCAUCUAAAGCUAAAUAUUGGCGAGAGACCGAUNGCGAACAAGUACCGUGAGGGAAAGAUGAAAAGCACUUUGGAAAGAGAGUUAAACAGUACGUGAAAUUGUUGAAAGGGAAACGCUUGAAGUCAGUCGCGUCCCGUGGAACUCAGCCUGGCUUCGGCCUGGUGUACUUUCCAUGUGGACGGGUCAACAUCAAUUUCGGCCGGUGGAAAAGGGCGAGGGGAAUGUAGCGUUGUUUCGGCGACGUGUUAUAGCCUCUUGUCGUAUACNCUGGCUGGGAUUGAGGACUGCAGCACGCCCUUGUGGCCGGGGGUUCGCCCCACGUAAGGUGCUUAGGANGUUGNCAUAAUGGCUUUNAGCGACCCGUCUUGAAACACGGACCAAGGAG
rnacentral:rRNA from 2 species